UGCAGUCGAACGGUAACAGAACUAGCUUGCUAGUUGCUGACGAGUGGCGGACGGGUGAGUAAUACUUAGGGAUCUGCCUCUGUGUGGGGGAUAACUAUUGGAAACGAUAGCUAAUACCGCAUAACGUCUACGGACCAAAGAGGGCUUCGGCUCUCGCGCAGAGAGGAACCUAAGCGAGAUUAGCUUGUUGGUGAGGUAAAGGCUCACCAAGGCGACGAUCUCUAGCUGUUCUGAGAGGAAGAUCAGCCACACUGGAACUGAGACACGGUCCAGACUCCUACGGGAGGCAGCAGUGGGGAAUAUUGCACAAUGGGGGCAACCCUGAUGCAGCCAUGCCGCGUGUGUGAAGAAGGCCUUCGGGUUGUAAAGCACUUUCAGUUGUGAGGAAAGGUUAGUAGUUAAUACCUGCUAGCUGUGACGUUAACAACAGAAGAAGCACCGGCUAACUCCGUGCCAGCAGCCGCGGUAAUACGAGGGGUGCAAGCGUUAAUCGGAAUUACUGGGCGUAAAGCGUGCGUAGGCGGUUUGUUAAGCAAGAUGUGAAAGCCCCGGGCUCAACCUGGGAACUGCAUUUUGAACUGGCA
rnacentral:rRNA from 1 species